rnacentral:rRNA from 1 species
CCUACGGGCGGCAGCAGUGAGGAAUAUUGGUCAAUGGGCGCGAGCCUGAACCAGCCAAGUAGCGUGAAGGAAGACUGCCCUACGGGUUGUAAACUUCUUUUAUAAAGGAAUAAAGUGAGGCACGUGUGCCUUUUUGUGUGUACUUUAUGAAUAAGGAUCGGCUAACUCCGUGCCAGCAGCCGCGGUAAUACGGAGGAUUCGAGCGUUAUCCGGAUUUAUUGGGUUUAAAGGGAGCGUAGAUGGGUUGUUAAGUCAGGUGUGAAAUUUUGCGGCUCAACCGUAAAAUUGCAGUUGAAACUGGCAGUCUUGAGUACAGGAGAGGUAGGCGGAAUUCGUGGUGUAGCGGUGAAAUGCUUAGAUAUCACGAAGAACUCCGAUUGCGAAGGCAGCUUACUAAACUGCCACUGACAUUGAUGCUCGAAAGUGUGGGUAUCAAACAGGAUUAGAUACCCUUGUAGUC